rnacentral:lncRNA from 1 species
CUGAGCCCCCGCCACGAGAGGUCUUCAAGCAGAGAAUGUUCCAGGUCGAUGCUCCCCAGAUCCAGUAGCAGGGGAGUGCAGAGAUGGAAGAAGAGCCUGGGUGCUCUCUUUCUUCUUGAUGGUGGGGUUGCCCAGAGCUCCAGGUGAAAUGAGUUCAAGAGCAGGUGCCACUGGAAUGCCAAUCCGGAAUUGCUGCUGCUUGCAAGAUAACACACCAGGAGAUGAGGAGGACAGAGGCCCAGCCCCGGCCAAGCUCCAAGGGGACUUGUACUAACCUCUAUCCACUGGAAUUGAGACGAGGGAUGGGAAGACACAGGCUGGGCUGUCAUCAUCCCAGGUCCUGGAUGGGGCUGAGCCUCUUGUAUUACCAAGUCUGCCACUGUUCU